AGCGUUCUGUAAGCCUGUGAAGGUGUGCUGUGAGGCAUGCUGGAGGUAUCAGAAGUGCGAAUGCUGACAUAAGUAACGAUAAAGCGGGUGAAAAGCCCGCUCGCCGGAAGACCAAGGGUUCCUGUCCAACGUUAAUCGGGGCAGGGUGAGUCGACCCCUAAGGCGAGGCCGAAAGGCGUAGUCGAUGGGAAACAGGUUAAUAUUCCUGUACUUGGUGUUACUGCGAAGGGGGGACGGAGAAGGCUAUGUUGGCCGGGCGACGGUUGUCCCGGUUUAAGCGUGUAGGCUGGUUUUCCAGGCAAAUCCGGAAAACUAAGGCUGAGGCGUGAUGACGAGGCACUACGGUGCUGAAGCAACAAAUGCCCUGCUUCCAGGAAAAGCCUCUAAGCAUCAGGUAACAUCAAAUCGUACCCCAAACCGACACAGGUGGUCAGGUAGAGAAUACCAAGGCGCUUGAGAGAACUCGGGUGAAGGAACUAGGCAAAAUGGUGCCGUAACUUCGGGAGAAGGCACGCUGAUAUGUAGGUGAAGUCCCUCGCGGAUGGAGCUGAAAUCAGUCGAAGAUACCAGCUGGCUGCAACUGUUUAUUAAAAACACAGCACUGUGCAAACACGAAAGUGGACGUAUACGGUGUGACGCCUGCCCGGUGCCGGAAGGUUAAUUGAUGGGGUCAGCGCAAGCGAAGCUCUUGAUCGAAGCCCCGGUAAACGGCGGCCGUAACUAUAACGGUCCUAAGGUAGCGAAAUUCCUUGUCGGGUAAGUUCCGACCUGCACGAAUGGCGUAAUGAUGGCCAGGCUGUCUCCACCCGAGACUCAGUGAAAUUGAACUCGCUGUGAAGAUGCAGUGUACCCGCGGCAAGACGGAAAGACCCCGUGAACCUUUACUAUAGCUUGACACUGAACAUUGAGCCUUGAUGUGUAGGAUAGGUGGGAGGCUUUGAAGUGUGGACGCCAGUCUGCAUGGAGCCGACCUUGAAAUACCACCCUUUAAUGUUUGAUGUUCUAACGUUGACCCGUAAUCCGGGUUGCGGACAGUGUCUGGUGGGUAGUUUGACUGGGGCGGUCUCCUCCUAAAGAGUAACGGAGGAGCACGAAGGUUGGCUAAUCCUGGUCGGACAUCAGGAGGUUAGUGCAAUGGCAUAAGCCAGCUUGACUGCGAGCGUGACGGCGCGAGCAGGUGCGAAAGCAGGUCAUAGUGAUCCGGUGGUUCUGAAUGGAAGGGCCAUCGCUCAACGGAUAAAAGGUACUCCGGGGAUAACAGGCUGAUACCGCCCAAGAGUUCAUAUCGACGGCGGUGUUUGGCACCUCGAUGUCGGCUCAUCACAUCCUGGGGCUGAAGUAGGUCCCAAGGGUAUGGCUGUUCGCCAUUUAAAGUGGUACGCGAGCUGGGUUUAGAACGUCGUGAGACAGUUCGGUCCCUAUCUGCCGUGGGCGCUGGAGAACUGAGGGGGGCUGCUCCUAGUACGAGAGGACCGGAGUGGACGCAUCACUGGUGUUCGGGUUGUCAUGCCAAUGGCACUGCCCGGUAGCUAAAUGCGGAAGAGAUAAGUGCUGAAAGCAUCUAAGCACGAAACUUGCCCCGAGAUGAGUUCUCCCUGACUCCUUGAGAGUCCUGAAGGAACGUUGAAG
rnacentral:rRNA from 1 species